rnacentral:rRNA from 1 species
CACGUGGGGAACCUGCCCCAUAGUCUGGGAUACCACUUGGAAACAGGUGCUAAUACCGGAUAAGAAAGCGGAUCGCAUGAUCAGCUUUUAAAAGGCGGCGUAAGCUGUCGCUAUGGGAUGGCCCCGCGGUGCAUUAGCUAGUUGGUAAGGUAAAGGCUUACCAAGGCGAUGAUGCAUAGCCGAGUUGAGAGACUGAUCGGCCACAUUGGGACUGAGGCACGGCCCAAACUCCUACGGGAGGCAGCAGAG